AGAAUAUCCUAUGCCUGGUGCUGCUCUGCAAAUGAAUAUAGUAUAGUUCCUAUUCUCUGUAUAACAUAUUUGGUGGCUAGGUGCUUCCUCUGCUCAGUUGGAGAUCUUUUGUUCCAGAUUCUGUGUUAAACAGGUUGUGAGUAGAUAAUGUGAGAGACACAGUACAUGAAUGACAGCUGUGAAUGCAACAUAAUUAUUUUGAGUACGCUAGUAACUUCUUUCUUGCUUGUAAACACCAG